UCGAACGCGAAAGUGGAGCAAUCCAUGAGUAGAGUGGCAAACGGGUGAGUAACGCGUGGGCGACCUACCUCAGAGUGGGGGAUAACCUUCCGAAAGGAGGGCUAAUACCGCAUGACAUCCUGUGUUUGGAUACACGGUGAUCAAAGCCGGGGAUCGCAAGACCUGGCGCCUGGAGAGGGGCCCGCGUCCGAUUAGCUAGUUGGUGAGGUAACGGCUCACCAAGGCUCCGAUCGGUAUCCGGCCUGAGAGGGCGGACGGACACACUGGAACUGAGACACGGUCCAGACUCCUACGGGAGGCAGCAGUGGGGAAUUGUUCACAAUGGGCGCAAGCCUGAUGACGCAACGCCGCGUGGAGGAUGAAGACUUUCGGGUCGUAAACUCCUUUCGACCGAGAUGAAUUUCCCUCGACCUAACACGUCGAGGGGGUGACAGUAUCAAGGGAAGAAGCCCCGGCUAACUCCGUGCCAGCAGCCGCGGUAAUACGGGGGGGGGCAAGCGUUG
rnacentral:rRNA from 1 species